GUAAGACUCAUCAAACACCUUUCUCUUGUUACCAGAAUGUUGCAUUCAACAUGAAGAUCUUACGCGAUAAAGGUCUUGUCUUCGUUCCACCAAUGCCCUGUAUUGAAGACUAGAACAUCAGAGCCGACCCAUUUUUUGGACUGCCAGUUAAACUCAUCGACUCUAACAGUCAUUUUGACAUCUACCGGUGAGUUCUCAGGAGGCCGACCAACCACAACCAGAAACGGUGUUCUAUGAUAUUCAACGGUUAGGUUUUGUUCCGGAAAUCGCAUCGAAAGGAAACCCUUAUGCUUGCUUAUAGGGUUUCCAUUAACUUCAUAUAUCUCAGAUUUAUUAGACACUGCUUGUGAAAGCAUACACAGAAGAGAUUCCCAUUGGUUUCUUCCGAUAGAAUCUCCGACGAACACAAUCCUCCCAUUCCGACUCCUCUCCAGAAAAUCACUUGCGUUAAAUCUGUAAUCGUUUUCACAACAAG